CCUCCAAAGAGGACCCCACGCUCAACCAAGUGAACUAGCACCAAGCGCACCAAUUCACCCAGGUGCAGUGACUGCCUGGUCUCCUGCCACUGAGACUUCAUCCACAGUGCUCCCCAAGUCUGGAACUGCUGUGUCUGACUCAUUCAUGCACCUUCAAUGCCCAGCUCAGGUUUUGGCACAGAUGAGAACCCCUGUGGGGAGGAACAAGUCCCCCGUAUCAUUAGGCCUGCCUGCCCCCAAGAAUCCAGCCCAGGAUCUGCAUAUGUUUAAGUGUGGCCCCUUGGUUUUUAACUCAGUGAAUCAACUACAUGGAGUGAGUCUUCCUUCUGAAAAGUAUCCAGGGACUGCUGCUAAGGCUAGGAGCCACCCAGGAGGACCAGCUGGCUUAGUCUUUCCAGACUCCUCUAGUACAGGCCAAGCAGAGGACAUGAGGGCGAGAGGCAGGAGCAGCACAGGCAGGAGUCUCUUACCAGGGAGAAGCAGCAGUUGGUUGCUCUCCUCGCAUCCAAGCU